rnacentral:misc_RNA from 1 species
AAUUAUGGGAAGGGAUGAGAAAGUGAACUGAAUUAUGGGAAGGGAUGAGAAUGUAUAUGAAAGAAUUGUGAUAUGAGUUAGUUGUGAAUGGUGUUGCCUGUAAUCAUGAAUUUUUGUUGACUUUUUUAUGAUUUGUGAAUUUAAAACAUGUACAUGUAUUUCUUUGUCAUUUGCCUCAUUUGGGACUUUUCAAUACAUAAAUCAUACAUGUAAAUGAGUCCAGUGUAAAUUUACCCUCCUUUUGUAAAACAUUCUUGUUGACCAUUGUGUGCAUUUUAAGUACAGAUUAAAUAUACAAAUGUAUUACUAACUGGCUGGUGCAGUUUUGAGUACCCAGUACUAUAUUAAGGACAGAAAAAAAAUACAAAUGUAAUUCUAACUGGAUUUCAGAAUGGUGGAUAUGACUUUUUGUGGUAAUUGUAUUUGUAUUGAUUACAUAUUACAUGUAUGUAACAUCUCCAUUAUUGAUUGGAAAAAAAAUUGUUGAUGAUGUUCACACAUUUUAUGAAGACCAUGGCCUAGAUUUAAAAAUAAAGAAUCUUUCAG